rnacentral:rRNA from 1 species
CUACGGGAGGCAGCAGUGGGGAAUCUUAGACAAUGGGCGCAAGCCUGAUCUAGCCAUGCCGCGUGAGUGAUGAAGGCCCUAGGGUCGUAAAGCUCUUUCGCCAGGGAUGAUAAUGACAGUACCUGGUAAAGAAACCCCGGCUAACUCCGUGCCAGCAGCCGCGGUAAUACGGAGGGGGUUAGCGUUGUUCGGAAUUACUGGGCGUAAAGCGCGCGUAGGCGGACCAGAAAGUUGGGGGUGAAAUCCCGGGGCUCAACCCCGGAACGGCCUCCAAAACUCCUGGUCUUGAGUUCGAGAGAGGUGAGUGGAAUUCCGAGUGUAGAGGUGAAAUUCGUAGAUAUUCGGAGGAACACCAGUGGCGAAGGCGGCUCACUGGCUCGAUACUGACGCUGAGGUGCGAAAGUGUGGGGAGCAAACAGGAUUAGAUACCCUGGUAGUCCACACCGUAAACGAUGAAUGCCAGUCGUCGGGUAGCAUGCUGCUCGGUGACACACCUAACGGAUUAAGCAUUCCGCCUGGGGAGUACGGUCGCAAGAUUAAAACUCAAAU